GCUGAGUGGAGAGGAGAGAGGGACAGAGAGCCUGCUUCUUUAAAGGAGCAAAGCGGGAGAGGAGAGGAGCCGCUUACAUGAGUGUAAGCGGCUCCUGUCCGGUUGGUUCCUUUAAAACAAGCAGGCUCUCUGUCCCUCUCUCUUCCCCACUCAGC